AACCAUUCUCACCUGCGGCUAGACCUGCGGAAGGAUCAUUACCAAUUAUAUAUGUUAGUUUGCCUGUGGCUUCGGUCACUGGUAUUAACUAUUAUGUAAACGUUGAACUAGAUCAAUUGGUGUGGAUUGCUUGGGAAUGGACGAAGCGACAAGCCUCUUCCGGACAGGCAAGCCCCACACUGAUAACCUUUUUCAUAUCAUUUACUCGUACAUACUACAAACAACAAAAAAUCUUAUACU
rnacentral:misc_RNA from 1 species